GAUGAACGCUGGCGGCGUGCCUAAUACAUGCAAGUCGAGCGAACGGACGAGAAGCUUGCUUCUCUGAUGUUAGCGGCGGACGGGUGAGUAACACGUGGAUAACCUACCUAUAAGACUGGGAUAACUUCGGGAAACCGGAGCUAAUACCGGAUGAUAUUUUGAACCGCAUGGUUCAAAAGUGAAAGACGGUCUUGCUGUCACUUAUAGAUGGAUCCGCGCUGCAUUAGCUAGUUGGUAAGGUAACGGCUUACCAAGGCAACGAUGCAUAGCCGACCUGAGAGGGUGAUCAGCCACACUGGAACUGAGACACGGUCCAGACUCCUACGGGAGGCAGCAGUAGGGAAUCUUCCGCAAUGGGCGAAAGCCUGACGGAGCAACGCCGCGUGAGUGAUGAAGGUCUUCUGAUCGUAAAACUCUGUUAUUAGGGAAGAACAUAUGUGUAAGUAACUGUGCACAUCUUGACGGUACCUAAUCAGAAAGCCACGGCUAACUACGUG
rnacentral:rRNA from 1 species